AAGGUCCUCCUCCUCCCCCUCCAUAGACAAAUGAAGCCUCUCUCUCUCUCCCCCUACAAUAUUUUGUGGUCUCCCUAUUUAUAGAUAUAUAAUUCCUAUACCAAAACUCAAAACUCAAACCCUCGGUUAUUGUUCACGGACAGUGGAGUGGCGAAAAUGCCCCCCAAAAUGAUCUUCUUAGUGUUAUUUUCCCCACUUUUGCACAGCAAAAUGGCGAUUUUACCCAUCGUCUCCGCCGGGUCGACCAUCGCUGGGGUUCCUGUUCAACUUCUUUGCUUUUUGUUUUUCUGAUUUCCAUCUCUCUUGUCUCUCGCGAUUCUUAUUUUGCAAGCUGCAUCUUUUUCUAUCUCACACUCCCUUUUUUCCUUGUCCAGCCUUUGCAUAUUUCUGGCCUCCGUUCCCAACUUCUGUUUGGUAAAUUUUCUCAAUUCUACGAAUUUAUUUGUGCCCUUUUUGGAUUCCAUUGGAAUCCGUUUUUUACCCACAUAACCUAACGUUUUCUGGAAACAUUGGUCUUCGAAUUUUGGGGGUUUUUGUAUGCAAGCUUGCACGCCCUUUGUGAUCAAGCUGUAAAAGAUAAAGGUCGUACCCAGUGCACAAGGCUCCCGCUUUACGCAGGGUCUGGGAGAGGUGAAUGUCGGCUAGCCUUACCCCCAUUCGUUAGCUGUAAAAGAUAAAUAAAUAAAUUUGGGGUUUUUGUUUGUGUGUUCGGAUUUGAAUGUUGGUGUAUGAUUUGGUAUGCUUCCGGACUUCCAGUCCACAGUUGAGAGACAAGGAAGUUUCAAGAUAUGAAAGUUUAGGGUUUUUGUUUCGCCACGAAGUAAAGUGGUAUUGAAGCUAAGCAACCUAACUCAGCCAUUAAAAAUUGUGCUCGAGUUUAGUGUAUUAAGAAUGGGGAAGGAGUUUAAGGUCGAAGUGGAAGUGAAUGGCCGUGUUCGCCAUAAGAAUUUAUUGAGGUUGCUUGGUUAUUCAACUGAAGGAGCUCAUAGAUUUAAAAACAACGAUUGGGCAGUUCUCUCUGGUAAUUGUGUGGAUGGAGUUGGUUUCCUUUCUCCACUUUUACUAAUUUUAUUUAAGUUCAUCCAUGCCAUAUAAUUGUUUUGGGAGUUAUUUGGAAUUUAAUUCAACUCUUCUGUGUUUCAUUUAACGAAGAUUCGAAAUUUAUUAAAUAGUUUACUAAUUUUGUGUGUUUUUUUCCUUAAAACAUGUGACUCAACUUUUUCUCUUAGAGCGAAGAACAUGCAUUCACGUUACUUAGGGUUGUCCGCAAUAGAAACUUACAGAAACCUUUGGCCUAGGCUUGAAAAUUUUGUCUUUGGCUGACUGAUCAAUGCUGACAGGUAAAGUUAUAGUUAUUUAUAAGAACUUCUUGAAUAUUCUUAGAUCUCAGGUCUAUUUGGGGCGGGUGUUUUGCCAGUUGGAGUUCAUUUUGGGAAUUGAUUGACGGUUUUGGUUUUAGGAGAGAGCGGCCCCUGUUUUCUGGGAUGAAUCCUCCUGCCUUGCCGUAUUCAUUGCAAUAUCAUCGAAGGGUCAAUAUUUCUAGUAUUUUUGUUUUUGUUUUUGCUACAUGUUGAUGCAUGUUAAGCCUGCUUUCUUCCAACCUUAAAUGCAUCCUCUUUUCUAUUUGACGAACUAUUGAUACACACACACACACACACACACACACACACACACAUAUAUAUAUAUGUAUAAUUUUGCUUUGGCUACAUCAUGAUGCAUGUUUGUUCUUUGCGAUUUUUUUGUUGGGGGUAAGGUAAGUGAUUUGUUGAGUUGUAAUUUUUGUUGGGGGUAUGUUCGUGUUAUACAAACAGUAAAAUCACAAAAGACUUUAUAUUGUAAACCAUUUUAAUAGUAGAUUGUUACUAGAUUUAUCUAAUUGCAAAAGUUUGAUAUUUUUAUUUUCUGAGUUAAGCAUUUAGCUCCUGGUUUCCACAAAAUCAGUAUUUAAAUAAUUUUUUUCUAUAAGAAUGCGAUGAUGAUAUUUUUUUCCCAACAAAUUUACAUUUGUAUGUGGUUGUGAUGAAUAUGCCUUAUAUGUUGUGUUGUAGAUUAUUUGGGUCGGUAUUGGAAUACAUCUUUUGUAAUCUGAAGCCUAUUACUGAUUUAGCAUUUGCAAAUGGGUAUUCUGCUUAAAUUUACUUUAUUUUAUUUUAUGAUUUUGAAUGUUUUCUUUGUACCUUCCAAUCUUGCAUGUAGGUGUAUAAUUUGGUUUUGUCAUUAAGAUGAGCAAUUUCAAAUGCUUCCUUUGGGGGUUUUCUCAAACAAAUAGUUGAAAUAUCUUAUAUUAGUUAAUGUUAUUACGUUGAUUGUUCAUAUUAUUUGCUUGCAUUUCCUUUUCUUAUGAUUUAUUUAAAAAGAUAAAUUUGCUUAAAUUAGUUUGGUUACUUUACAAGAAAUCUUAUAUGGAUUUUUAAUCGACGAAUUCCAGUUUCUAACACUGCAUUUUCUUCAAUUGUAGGUAUUUGAACGUUAUAUGUCUAAAUUUUGUUCAAUAAUUAGAAAGAACCUUUUGUUCACUAGGUAAAAGCCUAUUGCUUGUAUAGCAUAAAACUAUUCUUACAAAAUCAAAGUAUACAGUGUAUACAUAUGCAGCAGAUACGUUGGAAAUAAAGUACAAUAUAAAAUAUUUUUGUUUUAUUGAUUAAUUGACUAACUUCGUGAUGGUCAUUUGAGGCUAUACAAACUAAAUUUGUUGUAGGUAAGCUCAUAUUUAGGUAAGAACCAUGAAUGUCUCAUCGUUGUCAAUUUUUGCUUAUUCCAGCUUCACAUUAUUCUAAAGCUGUAAUUAUGGAAAGAAAAAAAAGUUUCCAACUAUGACACCCAAGAAAGGUAGUAGCUUCUCUUUCUUUGUUAACUUAUUAAAAAUGAUUUCCUAAGCAGUUUUGUUUUUAAUUUAUUCAUUUGCAGUGUGGAAAAUUUGUGAUUAUCUCAUUGACCCCGCCCUUUACUGCCCGCACAAGUGGUCGACGUUCCGAAUCGCUUUUUUUUACAAAGGAAAAUCCAUAUGCAAACUAAUCUACUACAACUCAAAGUUAAAGAUCAGGAAGAGCUCAUGAAAGAAGCAGUGACAAGCAUUUUACAAACGUCUCGUAGUUUUCAUUCAACAAUCCAGGCGUAUACAGUCACUGGGUUGGAAUUUAUAUGCGUCUUAUGUUUCUACUCCCUGGUUUGGUAAAGAAGAAACUUAUAUUUUGUUUUACAUUUAACUCAGUAUAAAUUUUAGGGGUUGUGUUUUUAGUAUUUUCGGGUCUGAGUUCUGUAUAUAUCAGAAUAACACUAACUUUUUGUAUGUUUUGUGAAUUUGUUGUUAUUCUAGCAGGAACUGCCAUGGUGGCAGGGAACAAACAUAAAAGCAGUGUUAUUCCAGAAUUUGAUAAUAUUAUUCAACAAUGUGGUGAGCUUUCUCAUUACAUUGGGUACGAUUGUUAAAACUUUCAAUUCAUUGUACCUAUAUUGAAACAAUUUUUUAUGAUACAAUCUUAUAUAUUUCGAAUAUAAUCUUUCAUACAAUUUCUAAUUCCACAGCAA